rnacentral:tRNA from 1 species
AGCUCAGUAGGUAAAGCGCUUGCCUCGCAAGCAUGAGAGCCUGAGUUUGAUCCUCAG